rnacentral:misc_RNA from 1 species
AUGAUUGACCUUUGACGGUCUUGUCAACAAUCCUAACACCUGUGAACCGUUUUUUGGCCUCCGGGCCCGCUUACAUUACAAACAUUGUGUAAAGAAACGUCUUGUUAUCUUAACAAAACA